rnacentral:rRNA from 1 species
CAGCAGCCGCGGUAAUACGAGGGGUGCUAGCGUUAAUCGGAAUUACUGGGCGUAAAGCGUGCGUAGGUGGUUUGUUAAGCAAGAUGUGAAAGCCCCGGGCUCAACCUGGGAACUGCAUUUUGAACUGGCAAACUAGAGUAUUGUAGAGGGUAGUGGAAUUUCCAGUGUAGCGGUGAAAUGCGUAGAGAUUGGAAGGAACAUCAGUGGCGAAGGCGGCUACCUGGACAAAUACUGACACUGAGGCACGAAAGCGUGGGGAGCAAACAGGAUUAGAUACCCUGGUAGUCCACGCCGUAAACGAUGUCAACUAGCCGUCUGUGACCUUGAGUCGUGGGUGGCGCAGCUAACGCACUAAGUUGACCGCCUGGGGAGUACGGCCGCAAGGUUAAAACUCAAAUGAAUUGACGGGGGCCCGCACAAGCGGUGGAGCAUGUGGUUUAAUUCGAUGCAACGCGAAGAACCUUACCAUCCCUUGACAUCCAGAGAAGAGACUAGAGAUAGACUUGUGCCUUCGGGAACUCUGUGACAGGUGCUGCAUGGCUGUCGUCAGCUCGUGUUGUGAAAUGUUGGGUUAAGUCCCGCAACGAGCGCAACCCCUAUCCUUAUUUGCCAGCGCGUAAUGGCGGGAACUCUAAGGAGACUGCCGGUGAUAAACCGGAAGAAGGUGGGGACGACGUCAAGUCAUCAUGGCCCUUACGGGAUGGGCUACACACGUGCUACAAUGGCAAGUACAGAGGGCAGCAAUACCGCGAGGUGGAGCGAAUCCCACAAAGCUUGUCGUAGUCCGGAUUGGAGUCUGCAACUCGACUCCAUGAAGUCGGAAUCGCUAGUAAUCGUAGAUCAGAAUGCUACGGUGAAUACGUUCCCGGGCCUUGUACACACCGCCCGUCACACCAUGGGAGUGGGAUGCAAAAGAUGUGGCUAGUUUCUAACCUUCGGGGAGGACGGUCACCACUUUGUGUUUCAUGACUGGGGUGAAGUCGUAACAAGGUAACCGUA